GCUCCACAGGACAGAGGCCGAGAGAGGAAAGCAGGGCGCUCCAGGGAGCCGGGGAAGAGGAGCGUGCGUGUGACCAGGGCACAGAGACUGUGGAUUGACAACCACACGGUAGGGCUCCCGGCGGUCAGCCCAGCGCGGGGGACGCGGCACCUGUCCAAAGGGUGUUUGAGGAGUGAGGGAUUCUCACAUCAAUUCCUAAAGUCGAUGUUCAAAGGCGGGGGAGCUCUGCUGUACCAGGAAACCCAACAGUACUGGAUACACAGCUUGCCAAAUCCCUAAAACUUCCACCACGAGCUCCCGCAGGCUGGUCGGGUGGGCUCAGCACAACUCUGGCUGUUCCCGAAUCUUCUGCAGCACCACGCAGGCAGUGACCUCCCCGAAAGACUCAGAAGGUGGACUCAGCUGAGACAGAGCUGAACUGACACGUGCCGCUGAUCGGAGGGGAGCCGGGGCUUCAGGGUGUGGACGGAACACUAAUACUUUCCUUUUCUUUCACAAGAGGGUUUUGAGGAAGAGAGAGGUUGAGCUACCAAAGUAACACAGCUGAUUUUAAAUGCCUGCAGCCAGCGUCCCUGCAGUGGGAUCUGGGCAGGAUGCUAGCCGCACUGGCCUCCAAUCCCGAUGACAUUGGCCGUGAGUGUAGGGCAGAUGGAUUCCCCCAACCCCCAGCCCAAGGCAGGGGUCUUGUGGGUCUGAUCUCUGCACACCCAACAGACAGGACAAUUGCUGACACCUAGGAGGUGCUCAGACACAUGGCUGAAGGUUUAACAAACCAUGGCAUUCAAGAUAUCAACGGGAGACGGACUCGCAGCAUCCUCAGUACAUGGACCAGGCACUAUCUUUACAUUUCAGUAUCUCUGAGAUCAACAUGCAUCUUACAAUCCCUGUGGCCAGUGGCAUUUGCCACUCCUGCUUGUGCAGGUCAAAGCUUACAGAAUGUGAACGAGAGGCUCAGAAGCAAAUCCCUUAGACAACAGUGGAACACUCUUAAGAAAUUCUGGAAUCUGAGGAUAUGUUGCCUUCCAUGGCAAAAGGAACUUUGCAGUUAUGAUUAAG